UACGUAGGGGGCAAGCGUUAUCCGGAAUUACUGGGUGUAAAGGGAGCGUAGACGGUUAAGUAAGUCUGGAGUGAAAGGCCGGGGCCCAACCCCGGGACUGCAUUUGGAACUGUAUAGCUAGAGUGUCGGAGAGGCAGGCGGAAUUCCUAGUGUAGCGGUGAAAUGCGUAGAUAUUAGGAGGAACACCAGUGGCGAAGGCGGCUUACUGGACUGUAACUGACGUUGAGGCUCGAAAGCGUGGGGAGCAAACAGG
rnacentral:rRNA from 1 species